GACGAACCGUGCGAACGUUGUUCGGAAUCACUGGGCUUAAAGGCGCGUAGGCGGGCCGCCAAGUCUGUGGUGAAAUCCCCCGGCUCAACCGGGGAACGGCCGCGGAUACUGGAGGUCUCGAGGGAGAUAGAGGUGAGCGGAACUUAGGGUGGAGCGGUGAAAUGCGUUGAUAUCCUAAGGAACACCGGUGGCGAAAGCGGCUCACUGGAUCUCUUCUGACGCUGAGGCACGAAAGCUAGGGUAGCGAACGGG
rnacentral:rRNA from 1 species